rfam:Lasallia pustulata genome assembly, contig: scaffold38298_size630
GACCCAGUGGUCAAGUUUGGUUAAGACAUAACAUUUUCACUGUUGAAACGGGAGUUCAAAUCUCUCCUGGGUUA